UACGUAGGGGGCAAGCGUUGUCCGGAAUCAUUGGGCGUAAAGCGCGUGUAGGCGGCUCGAUAAGUCUGCUGUGAAAGUCCAAGGCUCAACCUUGGGAUGCCGGUGGAUACUGUCGAGCUCGAGUCCGGAAGAGGAGUGUGGAAUUCCUGGUGUAGCGGUGAAAUGCGCAGAUAUCAGGAGGAACACCAAUGGCGAAGGCAGCACUCUGGGACGUGACUGACGCUGAGACGCGAAAGCCAGGGGAGCAAACGGG
rnacentral:rRNA from 1 species